GGCUCUCCUCUCAGGCGGCGGCCAUGUUGCUGGUGGAGAAACUCCGGCGGACACGUGGGGGGGAGCGGGCCGGCCCCAGCGUUUCCUCUUACCCACAAUGCCCCGCCCCGGUGCACGCGGCUCCGCCCCCUCCGCCGCGCCAUUCAUGCAGGCCGUGAGCCCCGCCCUGCAGCAGGGGGCGCUGAUGGCACGCGCAAAACUGAGCCAGGAGUGUAUGCAGCGGGGACAAAAAGACAGCAACCCUGGCAGCGGUGGGAUUCGAACCCACGCCCCCGAAGAGACUGGAGCCUUAAUCCAGCGCCUUAGACCGCUCGGCCACGCUACCCAGCUGCAAUAUGUUUAUGCCAGAAAGCUACUUAAUGCUUUUGCUUUUGCAUUUAAUCUGGACAUUGCGAGGCGUUUUCGCUGAGGUUUUUUUUUUGCUUAACGUGUGUUCAAGGUGAUCCCUAUAGAAUUAUUUUAAAAAGCCGUGUUUUGGAAAAUAAACACUUGCUCCAGUCUUUAGACCCAGGUUGGUUCCGAAUAGGUAUUAGAGCAAAACGCAUUUUUAGAAACUUUACUCUGAGUUGGAUGGUUAACCCGGAGACCCCUGGUUAACCCACAGGUAAUCCAUACGACCCGGAUUGGGUGUCUCCGGGAGAAGAAAUUGAUCUGAUCAGAAACAUGCACCAGGGGAUCUGACGGCCAAACCCUGGAGCUGGUCUGGGCAGUUGUCUCUGAAAAAUUAUGUUUAAAUUUUUACUUACACAAAUAACACGCGAAUUAUUGCAAAAUAUUUAAACUUUGCAGAUAAGGUACAAAUGCUCUUUGACCUUGACUCGCAUCCUAGGCCCCUCCGCCGAGGUAACUAACCAUUAUUAUCUGUUUAAUAUGAACUAUGGUUUGAAUGUGUCCCCCAAAUUUCAUGUGUUGGAAAUUUAAUCCCCAAUGUGGCAGUAUUGUGUGGUGGGCCCUUUAAGAGGUGAUUAGAUCAUGAGGGUGGAGCCCUUAUGAAUGGAUUAAUCUCUUCAUGGAUUCAUGGAUUAAUGGGUUAAUGGAUUAAUGGGUUAUCUUGGGAGGGGGACUGAUGGCUUUAUAAGAAGAGGGAGAGAGACCUUAGCUAGCAAGGGAGCAGCUCAGCACCCCCUCCAUAUGAUGGCUUGUACUGCCUGGGAACUCUGCAGGUGUCCCCCACCAGCAAGAAGGCCCUCACCAGAUGCACACUCUUGACCUUGGACUUCUCAGACUCCAUAACUAGACAGGGGUCUCGCUAUGUUGCCAGGACCGGUCUUGAACUCCUAAGGCUGAGAUAUUUCUGCUAGAACAUUCUGGAGCAACUUGUCUCUUUCUACAAACACAUACUGAGCAGGAUGCUUAAUUAAGAGGAAGCCUGCAGGGAAACAGCUGAUCCUGGAAGGCACAGCACCCUUUUGAGAGUUUCUUACAGUCCAGCAGCCCCUUACACAGUUUUCUCAUGACAAUCAGACAUGAAAUCAAUGAGCAAGAGAUGCAGAAUGUUGCAUCAGAACCCCUGGACCUACAAGGUCUCAGCAGCGGGAUGCCUGACAAGGGAGGGAUGGGCUGAAACUCCGACUAUUCUUUGUGUGCCUGUCCCUAUAUCAUAAACACUAGGCUGUGGAUAGUGGAAAUGGGUGUGGGGUCUCAGUCCUGGAUCCCCUCCAUUCUUUCCUCCCUUGCUCCCAUAAAAGGAAAAUGCUCUCAAACCUGGCCUGAGACCAUAUCUUUCUGUAAGAACCUCCUUCUGGAAAGAAACUAGCAUUUCUGAUAAAUGCUCGAGCAUUGAGCAUUUUUCUUUUGAAAUUUAAGAGCAUUGAGAUUUACACUGGGAAACUAGCUUUCUACUCACUCAGUUGAUGGUCAUUUGUCAGUCAAGAGUGCAGUGACCUUUAACGGAACAUUCUUUUCUUUUCUAUUUUGUCUAACAGUGAUUAUCUAAUCAUUUUCUUCUCCUAGAAAAUGUCUCUAUCAAGAUAGAGGUCAGAAGAGUGGCCAACAUUUUUCGGGGUGGAGAGAGGGUGUAUUGCCUGGGAAGGGGUCCAGGGGGGCUUCUGUAGGCCUGCAAAUGUUCUAAUAUCUUGAAUUGGGUUGUUAAGACACAGAUGUGUACAAAUGUAAAAAUUCAUCAACCUGUAUACUUAAGAGCGUGCAGUUUAAUCUACAUAGGCAGACUGUAAUAAAAAAUAAAUUUUUAGAAAAUGUCCCUACCAAGUAUAAAUCUUUGAAUUCCCAGUGGGUUUACACUUGCAGCAAGACUGUGAUUUUUUUUUUUUAAGAUAUGGGCUUUCACUGUGUUGACCAGGAUGGUCUUGAACUCCUGGCCUCAAGCAAUCCUCCCAUCUUGGCCUCCCAAAGUGCCAGGGUUACAGGUGUGAGCCACCACGCCCGGUCAAGACUGUAAUAAAAUUUUGACGUAUGCUGUAACAAAACCAACAGAAAAGUUUUCUUUAUUAACUUCUCUCUAAUCUUUUUUUUUUUUUUUGAAAUGGAGUCUCAUUCUGUCACCCAGGCUGGAGUACAGUGGUGUGAUCUCGGCUGACUGCAACCUCUGCCUCCUGGGCUCAAGUGAUUCUCCCGCCUCAGCCUGGCUAAUUUUUAUAUUUUUAGUAGAGAUGGUGUUUCACCAUGUUGGCCAGGCUGGGCUCUAACUCCUGACCUCAAGUGAUCUGCCCACCACAGCCUCCCAAAGUGCUGGGAUUACAGGUGUGAGCCACGGUGCCAGGCCUCCUCGUGCCAAUUUCUCAGCCUUGCAGGACUUGUUCAGCAAUGAAAAUUGGGUUUUUCUCAGAUUUCUCUACUGCUGAUCUAGGAUCCAGACUUCUUGGGUCUGUUAAUUCAAUUACAGUCUACCUACUUUCCAGCACCCAAAACUUGCUGUUCAAUCCUCUUUCUCUUCAUCCUCACCGGCUUAUGCUAUUUAAAAACAAACAAACAAACAAAAAAACAAACAAAAGAAUCCACUUCCUGUCAUUGCAGUGGGGAUUUAGGAACAAGUGGACCUAAAUAUGUAUGUUCAACCUACCAUGCAUAGUUAUACUAAUGUUCAAAUUUCUUAAAAUUAAAAAAAAUUAGCUUAAAACCAAAAGAUCAACUGGUAACCAAGAUUUUCUUAAGCUUGGAAUUAAAAAAGCACUUUAGGCUGGGCGUGGUGGCUCACACCUGUAAUCCCAGCACUUUGGGAGGCCAAGGUGAGUAGAUCACCUGAAGCCAGGAGUUUGAUACCAGCCUGGCCAACAUGGUGAAACCCUGCCUCUACUAAAAAUACAGAAAUUAGCCAGGCAUGGUGGUGUGCGCCUGUACUGCCAUGCCAGCUACUAGGGAGGUCGAGGCGGGAGAAUCGCUUGAACCCGGGAGGCGGAGGUUGCAGUGAGUUGAGAUCGCACCACUGCACUCCAGCCCGGGUGACAGAAUGAGACCCCAUCUUAAAAUAAAUAAAUAAAAAUAAAAAAAAACACUUUACCAUGUAUUAUCUUCUCUGAAGCUUACAACUCUGUAAUGGUAAAAAUUAUUCUUCAGGCCGGGCACGGUGGCUCACGCCUGCAAUUCCAGCAGUUUGGGAGGCCAAGGCCGGUGCAUUGCUUGAGCCCAGGAGUUCGAGACCAGCCUGGGCAUGAUGGCAAAACCCUGUCUCCACUGGAAGAAAGGAAAAAACAAGAUGAAACACAACCUGCCCCCCUUCAAAAUUAGCCGGGCGCGGUGGUGCUCACCUGUAGUCCCAGCUACUCGUGAGGAGGCUGAGGUGGGAGGAUAACUUGAACCUCGGAGGCAGAGGCUGCAGUGAGCCAAGAUCUUGCCACUGCACUCUAGCCUGGGCAACAGAGUGAGACUGUCUGAAAAACAAACAGAAAAACUCUAUGUUUUAUAGAUGAGCAAAUGAAGAAACGAGAGGUUCUAAUACUUUCUCUAAAGCAAACUGACAGCAGACGAGCCAAAUCUGGAAGGCUUUGAAAAGUUAUUAGAAUUUAUUACAAAUGUUAAAGAACAGAAGGCCUUGCAUUAAAAAAAAAAAAGUUUUCAGCAGCUCUUGAAAAAUUGGAAAAUAGGGUAACAUUGAGCCCGCGCUUCCCAUGGUGGCAAUCAUUUGAAGUUGAAUCAUGGCUGCCCCUUUCAGAUGGGGUAUGAGCCUUCUCGUUGACCCCUGCCUGCAGCAG
rnacentral:tRNA from 1 species